AUGGCCUCCUUCUCCAAGCAGGCGGCACUCUUCUUGCUGGCAGCGCUGCUGCUGUGCCUCCUCUGCACUAGAGGGCAAGCAGCAAGGCCUACACCAGGAUCCAGCCUCCAAAAAUCACAGGGUGCUGGCUCCGCCACCUCCCAUGAGAAGAGUGCUGCAGGAACCGGGAUGGAAAUGGAGCAGGUAGAUCUGGAGGCGAUGAGAGGAUGCGAGGGAGGGGAAGGAGCGGAGGAGUGCCUGAUGAGGAGGACCCUCGUCGCUCACACCGACUACAUCUACACCCAGGGGAAGCACAACUAG
rnacentral:rRNA from 1 species